AGACACUGUGUGUUUCAAGUGACUCAGCCUGUACGCCUAGUUUCCAAUGAGUGGAGCAAUUGCCUGCAGCAGUGUGCCAGGGAUUAUUUGUUAAUGCUACCAGGCAGGGCAGGGGCCACUUGCAAAUGCCAGCAGCUCAUGGCUGGUUGUCCCCAUACCUGGGACCAGCAGCUACCAAGACUGCCUUUGUCUCAGGGAAUUUCCCUUCCCUCACGUUCAUGGCAUCAUCUCUUGCUAUCAUUCUCUGUCUGUGUGAGGAAAGCAACAUCUGGGAAGUCAACAGGCUUCAAGAACUGGGACCCCACAGAGAGUCCUCGCUAGCAAGAAGACCCAAACCAGAUGCAGCCCCUUGACCCUGGACUUCCCAGACUCCAGAAUUGUA
rnacentral:lncRNA from 1 species